UUAAAUUGAAGAGUUUGAUCAUGGCUCAGAUUGAACGAUGGCGGCAGGCCUAACACAUGCAAGUCGAACGGUAACAGGAAACAGCUUGCUGUUU
rnacentral:rRNA from 1 species